ACCGGGGGUUGGGGACCCCUGAUUUAGGAAGUUUCUUAGCCUUUCUGCACCCAUUCUUCCCUCUUGUGCAAAAUGAGGCAUCAUAAUACCAGUUUCCCAGGACCACUGGGAAGAUUAGCAAUCGGGAUCGCAAGCUUCUUGAGUGGUGCCCAGCAUUUGUUAGGAACACUGUGGAUGCUGGUUUCCUUCCCUGCAGAGGUAGCAGGAGGAGGAGUCAUCUUGAUUACACCACUUCCUCCAGGCAUGAAUGCACCCAGACCUUCUCAGAUCAGGAGCUUGCUAGUUAGAACAAGUGCAAAGGCCCUGGGGCAGGAAUGAGCUUGGCUUCUUGGUGGGACAAAUACUGGUGGAAACAGGGACCAGUAGAAAGUGAGAUGGUAGAGAGUGGCAGGAAGGGGUUAGAAAAUGUACAGUCUUGCAGACCAUGGGAAGAAAUGUGGAUUGUAUUCUAAGUGCAUUGGGGAGUUUUAAGUUGGGGAAGAGAACCCCAGUCAGAUUUAUGACUUCAUCCUUCAAGCUGCUGUGUGGCACAUAGAGUGUGGGGCAAGAGGAACCAGGGCAAUGGCUGGUCCUUGAAGAGCGAUGGCAGUCACAGUGGCCGUGCAGCAGAGAUGGGGAGCCGUGGUCAGACUCAAGGGCGCUAUGAUGCUCGGGCCCGAGUCCUCAUUUGCCACGUGACCUCCCUCCUCCAAGUGCCCUUGGAGGAGCUGGAUCUCCUCGAAGUGACAUUCCUCGAGAGCCUGAAGGAAACCAAAGAGGAGGAAUCUGAAAUGGCCGAGGCAUCCCGGAAGAAGAAAGAAAACCGGAGGAAGUGGAAGCGCUAUCUCCUGAUAGGCCUGGCGACGCUGGGAGGCGGGACAGUGAUUGGCGUGACCGGGGGUCUGGCUGCCCCUCUUGUUGCUGCCGGGGCCGCGACGAUCAUUGGCAGUGCCGGGGCAGCGGCUCUGGGCUCAGCGGCCGGCAUAGCUGUCAUGACCUCGCUGUUCGGUGCAGCUGGAGCUGGCCUGACAGGAUACAAGAUGAAGAAGCGUGUCGGGGCCAUUGAAGAGUUCACAUUUCUGCCUCUGACAGAAGGCAGGCAGCUACACAUCACCAUCGCCAUCACGGGAUGGCUGGCAUCUGGCAAAUACCGCACCUUCAGCGCCCCAUGGGCUGCCCUGGCCCACAGCCGCGAGCAGUACUGUCUGGCUUGGGAGGCCAAGUACCUGAUGGAGCUUGGCAACGCCCUGGAGACCAUCCUCAGUGGUCUUGCCAACAUGGUGGCCCAGGAGGCCCUAAAAUACACAGUGUUGUCUGGCCUUGUGGCUGCCCUGACCUGGCCAGCCUCACUCCUCAGUGUUGCCAAUAUCAUCGACAACCCCUGGGGUGUGUGUCUCCAUCGAUCAGCAGAGGUUGGCAAGCACCUGGCCCACAUUCUGCUCUCCCGGCAGCAGGGCCGGCGGCCUGUCACCUUGAUUGGCUUCAGCCUGGGAGCCAGAGUCAUCUACUUCUGUCUGCAAGAGAUGGCUCAGGAGAAAGCUCUUCAGCUGCUUCUCUCUAGAGGCUGUGCUCUGAAGGAGACCGAUACUACUGUCCACUGCUACCAGGUGGCUGGCAUCACCACUUCCCACAGCUAACUCCUAAAAUAGUGCCUGCAAUUAGCGGCUGGCUAGAAACAGGCACGGUGACUAUAAUGGCUGAGCCAUCUCCAAAGACAGUGCCUCAUGCCCACCAUUUCUACCUAGUCGCCAAACUGAUCAUCUGCACGGGAAUAACAGUGGACACCACCGACCAAGCCAUGUGCCAGACACCGCCCUGAACAUAUAACCUCACGCCAGCCCUGGGAAAUCGGUAUUAUUAUAUUAUCUCCAUUUUAAAGAUGAGGAAGCUGAGGCUCCAAGUUAUUAAAUAACUGACUUCAGUUCACGUAAAGCAAGAUUUGAACACAGAUUUCUCCUGUGCCAAAGGUCAAGCCGCUUCCCCUGGACUGGUGAUUCCCAGCCUUUUUGAACCUGAGCCCUUUCUAAUGGCAAACACUUCACAGCCCUGCAUAUGGCAGUCAUCACACUUUCAGCAUCUCCUGGUGGAAGAACUAUGUAAUGACCAAGAACUACCUGAAUCCAGGAAUUCUGUGAGUUGCAACAGCGUCUGGUACAGUCUUAGAAUCAUGACACCUGCUGUGUGAGACAGGAGACAUUUAAUUGGCCGACAGCAGUUUGCAAUUGUGCAGUUUCUUAGGCCCUCGAAGUUGCUCUGGAUCUUUGCCCCCAGAGAUGGGGCACCCUGAGUUGUACCAUGAAUGAUCUGAAGGGUCUGGAGACCCUGAGCCUUCUUAUUAUGUAGGCCAAGCCCAAGGGAUUUUUGUUAAUACAGGUGAUGUCGGGUGCUUCUUGGGAGGGUCACCAUGAGCCUCUGGGUCACAUUGUCGGAAGCCAGCAGAGGAGACUGAGGCAGAGUCAGCUGUGGAAGGACCGGUCAUUAUUCUUGCCCACUGCAGACCGCAGUCAGUCACAGUAGCAUCUGUUCCCCUGGAGCAGAGCUCUGGAAACCAGCAAUGGAAGAGCUGAGAAGCCUGGUGAAAGACUCUUCCAUUUACUUUCAGCCGAGUCAGCACUCUUCAUUUGCUUUUAUCCAGUCUACAGAGAUCCUCAACUAGAGCCUCUCAGAAGAAGUUAUACCAGGAGGAAAGUUUCAAAAUUUUAAAAAAUAAACUUUUUGCAUGUAUUCUCAACAUGAAGGGUUGCUGAGUCCCACAGCUUGCUUUCAUUCAUCCCACAAAUACUUACUGAGCAGAGCAUCUGUGCCAGUUGCUGUUCUAGGCACUGGGGAUUCCCUGGGGAACACAGAAAAGAACAAUCUCAACCCUUGAGGAGCGCACGUGUAGUAGGAGACAGAUCAUAGGACAGAUUGUAAAAGUAAAAUAGGUAGUAAGUCAGGUGGUCUCAAGUGCUAUGGAGAAAAAUAAAUCAGAGAAGGGAGAUGGGGCACCUGGUAGGGGUGGGAGGUUGCAUCUUCCUCCCUUUGGAGGGUGGCAGUUCAACAAAGAGGUGAAGGAGCAGGUCGGGGGGUGAGGCUUGUGGAUGUUGGAGGAAGCGCAUCAGGAGGAGAGAUGAACAUGCCAGAAAGGCCUGGCAUGUUCUGGAACAGCAAGGCCAGUGUGGCCGGAAGACAGCGAGCGAGGGGAAAGCGUGGGGAAGGUCACGCAGGGCUUCGAGGGCUGUUGAAAUGACUUUGACUCUGACUCCACGAGAGAUGGAUCCCACAGGAGAGUUUUGAGCACAGGAGUGGAAAUGAUCUGACUUUCCUGCAGUGUCAUUUACAUGUUACACAAUCCCCCCGUUUUAAGUGUACAGUUCAGUGAUUUUUAGCGAAUGUGCAGAGUUGUACAAACCCUCACCACAACCGAGUUGUAGAACAUUUCCAUCACCCCCGAAAGGUACCUCAUGCCUAUGACUCAAAUUUUAAAGGGAUCUCUUUGGGUCCUGUGUUAAGAAUUAAAAAAAGAGGGACUUCCCUGGCAGUCCAGUGGUUAGGACUCGGCGCUUUCACCGCCGUGGUCCCAGGUUCAAUCCCUGGUCAGGAACUAAGAUCCCACAAGCCACGGGGUGUGGCCAAAAAUAAAAAAGGAAUGAAAAUAAGAGGUAAAAGCAAAGACAGUGUGGGAAGGUAAUGUUUCUCACCAUACGUGAGUGACAAAAAGGACUGAAAGUGGAGGGAUAUAGACAGGACUAAUAAAGCUUUUCUUUCUAAUUGCCCCAGGGAUGGAGCCUCCUUAAUGCCAAAGGCAUAAGAAUGAAAGGCCUCCAGCUUCAACAGUAAAAGUAUUAGAUUAAUAACAUACACAAGACUGUUUAACAAAUGAGCAGCCCAAGCCCAAAAGCUGAACCUGAACUUGAGUCCUGAACUUGAAGGUGACUGAUGCACCUUGGAUCCCUGACUAUUUAUAAAACUAUGGAACUAUAUCUUAACACCUUAAAAAUUCACAAGAAGAAAAGUUGGUGGUAGCAAUAUAGGAAUAAAUCCCAACAUGUUUCAGCAAACAUUCGUGGUCCCUGCCGGAAAAAGACAGUGAGGUCAUGUUAUGUUCGUUAUUAUUAAAAUGUUAAAUGCCAGUUUCUUGUGUUGGUCUUGAAAAGCGGGGGUAUUCUGCGCUGAACUCAUGUCAUGAUGUGACGGAUCAUCUGUGCCCAUGAAAGGGGACUGCUUGACACUAAAAGUGGUACCUGACUGAGGAUUUUCUGUAUUUUACCUGGAAGGCUGAAAUCUUCUGGUAUUAUAAGGUUUUGGACCAAACAGUGAAUGUUGACAUUUUUUCUCCAGCAUCUACUUCAGCAGCCAGUUUUCCUAACUCAGGUUUCCCCUCCUGGACCGUCUCAUUCCAGGAACAGUGCAGGAUUCUCUCUUGGGUGGGUCUAAAAUGAUUCUCACCAACUUUCUUUAAGCUAACACCUGUGCAUUACCAAGAGCCUGCCACAUGGCUUAUCUCUAGGUGUGCAACCUCCUAGAGAGCAAAUCAUCUUUUAAAACAUAAGACAGGCACAUCUGACUGUGGCAGCAGUCUGAGGAUAAAGGGGAAGAGGUCUAGAAAGGCAGUUUAAAGCCAGGCUUCAGAGAGAGAUUGCCAAGGGAUCAUCGAGGACGUUGUCCUGCUGGGCGCGCCCGUGGAAGGAGAAGCCAAGCAC